rnacentral:misc_RNA from 1 species
GAAAAUUUAUAAAAUUAGCAACACACUCUCCAACAAUCGCAAAGUCACCAUUAAUUUUUUUUUUCCUCUCUCAUAUUCAGAUCUCUCAUCAUCUCUCUAUCUCUCUCCGAUCCUUUAAAACCUAAGACGAAUUUCCAUUUCUACCUCUAUAGACUACACAAUAGCCUAGUUCUCCACCUACUCAAUUUCUCUCUGCAAUGGUGGUCUGCAAAUGCCGCAAGGCUACAAAACUAUAUUGUUUCGUUCAUAAGGUUCCUGUUUGUGGGGAAUGUAUCUGCUUCACAGAGCAUCAAAUAUGUGUGGUUCGUACUUACUCUGAGUGGGUAAUAGAUGGAGAGUAUGAUUGGCCUCCAA